CUUUUUCUUCGAUUUGAACUCUAAGAAAAAAUUACGCUGUUAUCCCUAAGGUAAUUUUUCUUUUAAUCUUAAAAAAAGGAUCAUUUUUUUCAUUUAUUCAUGAAAAUUAAAAAAAAAAGUUUAUUAAAUUUUUCAAUCACCCCAAUCAAAUACUUUUUAAUAAAAUAAAUUAAAAUUCCUAAAUUUAAAUUUUAAAAAUAAAAUAUUAAACUCUAUAGGGUCUUCUCGUCUUUUAUAUAAAUUUAAGCUUUUUAACUUAAAAAUAAAAUUCAAAAUUUUUAAAUUGAGACAGCUAUUUUUUCAUCAAACCUUUCAUUCCAGCUUUCAAUUAAAAAACUAAUGAUUAUGCUACCUUAGCACAGUCAAAAUACUGCGGCCGUUAAA
rnacentral:rRNA from 1 species